rnacentral:rRNA from 1 species
UGGGGAAUAUUGGACAAUGGGGGCAACCCUGAUCCAGCAAUGCCGCGUGUGUGAAGAAGGUCUUCGGAUUGUAAAGCACUUUCGACGGGGACGAUGAUGACGGUACCCGUAGAAGAAGCCCCGGCUAACUUCGUGCCAGCAGCCGCGGUAAUACGAAGGGGGCUAGCGUUGCUCGGAAUGACUGGGCGUAAAGGGCGUGUAGGCGGUUUACACAGUCAGAUGUGAAAUCCCCGGGCUUAACCUGGGAGCUGCAUUUGAUACGUGUAGACUAGAGUGUGAGAGAGGGUUGUGGAAUUCCCAGUGUAGAGGUGAAAUUCGUAGAUAUUGGGAAGAACACCGGUGGCGAAGGCGGCAACCUGGCUCAUGACUGACGCUGAGGCGCGAAAGCGUGGGGAGCAAACAGGAUUAGAUACCCUGGUAGUCCACGCUGUAAACGAUGUGUGCUAGAUGUUGGGUAACUUUGUUAUUCUAGUGUC